ACGGCUACGUUCUACCGGUAGAAACCAUAUUGCCGUCUUGUCCCGCCGAAGAAACCGGAUCCCGGAAUGUAUAUCGGGCCGCAAAGUCCCGAUAUAAGGCGUAUCCACGAGACGAUCGAAUUCGAGGCGCAGUUUGCGGAUUCGUUC
rnacentral:sRNA from 1 species